CAUAUGUGAUGUCUGCCAGUCUUUCUCUAUGGAAUCAUAAUUAAGUGUGAAUUUAUAGGUAAACGUAAUAAAGUGUUUUAAGUGUUUCCCAGCGAGAUAUAUUCAGUUGCUGGCCACUGCAAGGCCAUUGGCCAGCCAGGUGCCAGCCCAACAGUCUCCGCUGCUGGCCCUGGGCGUCAACACCUUUGACCUGCUGACCCAGCUGGCGAGGGGGGCGUACACCCCUCACUACAGCCUGCAGUCACCCGCCUCACUUGUGCCUUCCUGAAGGAGGCAGGACAGCCACCAAGCCUGUGAUUGGCUCACAGGAAGCCCCCAGAGCAUAAAAAUGAUGAUGCAGGGGCAUCAUUGCAGCCCUAGAGAGGAAGAGGAACAUGGCUGAAGACUUGGUUAAAAGAUUAGUCAAAUAUAGGGUUGAAACAGAUCUUUAAAGUGUUCACAGCAAUUCGGCUUUCAUUUGUAAACAAAGAGCAGACAGCUAGGAAGAUGACACCAGCAGCGGCAGGCGGCGACAGGCGGUGUGACAUCGGAGGUGUGACUUGUGCUGCGUGUCACGCAACCAAACUCAAGUGGAACAUGCACUGUUACAUGUACCAGAUUAUCGGACACGCCCAACAAGUCUGGCGCCAUUCGUAAAGCAACAAAACUGCUUGUCUUGAAAGACCAGUGACAGAGACAACCUUGGCCAGUGUUGUGUUCGCUUCCUGACAGUGCGGGGAUUGUGACCAGGAAUUUGUCCAGCUUCCUCUUUGCCUUGGAAAGUGCAUUCCUGGCUGAGUGUGGUGCGUGUGCCUGCUACUCGUGUGGUGGUGCUGCUGCUGCGUGAAGCCUCUGCCGUGGGAACCCACCACAAAUAGCUAAUGGAUUCUGUAUGAUGGGAUUAGCAGCAGACAGAAUUCCAGUGAUGUAUUAACAUGCCUAGGGACAGCCUUGGGGGCAUCCAUUAUUGGCAGAAGCCCCAGUGUGCUGAGUGACGGGGCGGCAUGACCUUGCACAUCAGAGGGUCAGGCUUCAGUGAGGAGCAGUUCAGCUACUUCAAUCCCUCAAAAGGCAAUUAGGUGUUCUUGGUGAAUAAGGAGGAGGAGAUUGAAUGCAGAGUGAUUGCCUACCUGACCACCAAGGAUAGGAUUGCCUGCGCCAGUGGGUGAGUUGUGGCAGUGCAGUGCAGACUCCAAGGCUCCCCGAGUGUACAGCAUUGUUGUGUGUGUGGAUGGGGUGUGUGUGCCAGACCCCUCACACUCUGUACUGUAUGGCUGGGCAAGGUCACCUACCAUUGAGACAGUAGCUCCUCAUUGGUUAUUGCCAGGCUCUCUUUUCGAUCUUCAUGGCAGUUUCCACAACAGCAAACACUGGCAAGCUUGACCACUGAUUUUGUCUCCAAUGAAGCUAAGAGUGGGAGUGUUCUUACCAAGGCCUUUGUUGGAGGCGUCCCCUGUGAUAUAGUGGACGACAACCUGGAGCUCUGUGACACACUGACAAGGGAGAAGGUUACUUGUCGCUCCAAGGGUAAGCUGGUCGGGCCCCAUGAAUGCCAC